rnacentral:lncRNA from 1 species
AGGGGUCCCGGGACCCCACAGGGCCUGGUACAGGUCGCGUAGCCGGGAGGCGGCGCACGGCCCUCGACCUCUGCCCUCCGAAGAAGGCUCAGACUUUUGGCACUGCUGGAAAUAAUGGCCUCCGCGAGGAGGGCGCUCGGGGAGCGGCUGCCGGUCCCGUGCCCCGCGGUCCGGGUGCCGCCCUAGGCCAGACCUGCGCUGGCAGCCCCGAUCACCUCACCCGCGCCGAAAGUGAAGGGGGAAGGGCUCCCCUGACCCCCGCCCAUACGCCCCAGGCCGGAGGGAAUGAAGAGUCGCCCGCGGGGCCUGGCUUGCCGACCAUGGCUCCCCACCGCCAAAGGUCUGUCUGUUGGCGGCACUUUGGGGCCAGAUUUUCGUGCUGUGUUUACCCUGUGUCUUAUCAGUAGUUCAUUACAGUCUUACAAGAAAAAGCAAUGAGAAAUUGUGAAGCGGGAUCUGCAGAAUGUUGGGUUCUAUUGCCAUGAUUUCAGUGGAGCCUUCUUACAAAAGUAGGGGCUGCUUGUGGACAGACCUGAGAGAAGACAUAAUUAAAUCAUCACAGCUGGUGGCCCAAGAAAUCCUUUCUAUCCCCCAAAACCUGCAGGUUUGUAACCCCUAGACAACAGUAACAUUUUGUUGUUCUGUCUCUCAGGUGCAGGGGAAAGGCUUUAGUCUGACUUUUAAUCUUUACUAUAGGUGAAAAAAAAAUAGGCCUUUCGACUACUCUUCUCAAAAGGCAAAUUUAUUUACUAAGCUGUAUGUCUUAUAACAGGGAUAGGAAAAAAUUGAUAGACAUAUAAGGACAAGAUUCUGUUUAUAAACGGAGUUUUUUAUAUUUUCAAUAGGUUUUCCACCUGUAACCAAUAAAAAUUAUAUAUUUAAACUUG